GAUGAACGCUGGCGGCGUGCCUAAUACAUGCAAGUCGAGCGAACAGACGAGGAGCUUGCUCCUCUGACGUUAGCGGAGGACGGGUGAGUAACACGUGGAUAACCUACCUAUAAGACUGGGAUAACUUCGGGAAACCGGCGCUAAUACCGGAUAAUAUAUUGAACCGCAUGGUUCAAUAGUGAAAGACGGUUUUGCUGUCACUUAUAGAUGGAUCCGCGCCGGAUUAGCUAGUUGGUAAGGUAAAGGCUUACCAAGGCAACGAUGCGUAGCCGAGCUGAGAGGGUGAUCGGCCACCCUGGAACUGAGACACGGUCCAGACUCCUACGGGAGGCAGCAGUAGGGAAUCUUCCGCAAUGGGCGAAAGCUUGACGGAGCAACGCCGCGUGAGUGAUGAAGGUCUUCGGAUCGUAAAACUCUGUUAUUAGGGAAGAACAAAUGUGUAAGUAACUAUGCACGUCUUGACGGUACCUAAUCAGAAAGCCACGGCUAACUACGUG
rnacentral:rRNA from 1 species